rnacentral:rRNA from 1 species
UACGUAGGGGGCAAGCGUUGUCCGGAUUUAUUGGGCGUAAAGAGCGUGUAGGCGGUUUGGUAGGUCCGUUGUGAAAACUCGAGGCUCAACCUCGAGACGCCGAUGGAAACCAUCAGACUAGAGUCCGGAAGAGGAGAGUGGAAUUCCUGGUGUAGCGGUGAAAUGCGCAGAUAUCAGGAGGAACACCGGUGGCGAAGGCGGUUCUCUGGGCAUUACCUGACGCUGAGGAGCGAAAGUGUGGGGAGCGAACAGG